ACCAUUUUUAUUGUGAAUAUCAACAACUCCACCCUGAUUGACUGCGUCAUUGGGGACACCUACCCAUCUGCAGUGGCAGAAAGUCAGCAUCUGAUGCAGGGACCUGAGCUCCACAUGCACAGCGAUCAGACGAGGUGCAGCUACGGCUGUGGGCAGCAGGAGGCAGGACAGGCCUCACCUCCUCCCUCACAGGACCCUCCAAGCAUUAACAUCCACGGCUCUCAUCUCAAGUGUGUCAUCAUUGGAGACAAUAACUACAUGCACGCUGAGCAGUCCUACU